GCCUACGGGACGCAGCAGUGGGGGAUAUUGCACAAUGGGGGGAACCCUGAUGCAGCGACGCCGCGUGGGUGAAGGAGCGUUUCGGCGCGUAAAGCCCUAUCGGCAGGGAAGAAGAUGACGGUACCUGACCAAGAAGCCCCGGCUAACUACGUGCCAGCAACCGCGGUAAUACGUAGGGGGCAAGCGUUAUCCGGAUUUACUGGGUGUAAAGGGGGCGCAGACGGCAAUGCAAGCCAGGAGUGAAAGCCCGGGGCCCAACCCGUGAACUGCAUUUGAAACUGUUUCCCUUGAGUGUCGGAGAGGUA
rnacentral:rRNA from 1 species